CAGGAAGAUGGGCAAGAGGGACUGAAAAGAGUUGGCUAAACUGAAGGGCAUUGUUGGCUCAAAACAAAUGAGUUUAGAUGAGUAAACGUGAAUAAAUAAACUUAGGAUAAAACUUAAGGAAAAAUGAAAGCCUUUGAAAGAGUAACUGUGAAAAUCUGGUGUGGGGACUGUGGAGACAAGGCAGUUCAUCUUUCAUACAGGUGUCUCCCAAGACUCCUUCUUCACAUUUCACGUGCGCAUUUUGAAACCAUUACCAGGAAUGAACAUUUGUACUUUAACAGCCACAGAACGUGUGCUGCCCCACUCUUGAGAGACUGCCUGGUACUGUGUGGAGGGAGUGCUCUAUGUGGUCAAAACCACUUCAAACUGAACUACUGUAAGUUUCUCAGUCAUCAGUUCUCAUUGUUCUCACUGCAGUCCUUUGGUUCAGGCAAUCUUGCAAAUUGUUCCAUGUCUUGUUUCCAAUAUCUUUCCAGUUUAUAGAUUGCUUCAGUUUUGCUGCUUUCCAGGGUGACAACUUCAGUAUAUUCACAUUUCUGAGAGCAGCACAGUUACCUUUUUCCUCCAGAUCUAGUCUUUCUCAUGAGAAUUCCUCCUAGAAGGCUCCAAAACUAACCAUGAAUUCAGAAGAAUAAAUGUGGUUUGAGGGAAAUGUUACACUUUUGAGAAAGGCCACCUUGUGUUAGAGACUCGGUUUACCCCUCAUUAAAGCCCAAGGGGAC
ensembl:lncRNA